rnacentral:rRNA from 1 species
UACGGGGGGGGCAAGCGUUUGUUCGGAAUUAUUGGGCGUAAAGAGCGUGUAGGCGGCCAGGUAGGUCUGCUGUGAAAACUCGAGGCUCAACCUCGAGACGUCGGCGGAAACCAUCUGGCUAGAGUCCGGAAGAGGAGAGUGGAAUUCCUGGUGUAGCGGUGAAAUGCGCAGAUAUCAGGAAGAACACCCGUGGCGAAGGCGGCUCUCUGGGACGGUACUGACGCUGAGACGCGAAAGCGUGGGGAGCGAACAGG